rnacentral:rRNA from 1 species
GAUGAACGCUGGCGGCGUGCCUAAUACAUGCAAGUCGAGCGAACAGACGAGGAGCUUGCUCCUUUGACGUUAGCGGCGGACGGGUGAGUAACACGUGGAUAACCUACCUAUAAGACUGGGAUAACUUCGGGAAACCGGAGCUAAUACCGGAUAACAUGUUGAACCGCAUGGUUCAACAGUGAAAGACGGUCUUGCUGUCACUUAUAGAUGGAUCCGCGCCGCAUUAGCUAGUUGGUAAGGUAACGGCUUACCAAGGCAACGAUGCGUAGCCGACCUGAGAGGGUGAUCGGCCACACUGGAACUGAGACACGGUCCAGACUCCUACGGGAGGCAGCAGUAGGGAAUCUUCCGCAAUGGGCGAAAGCCUGACGGAGCAACGCCGCGUGAGUGAAGAAGGUCUUCGGAUCGUAAAACUCUGUUAUUAGGGGAGAACAAAUGUGUAAGUAACUAUGCACGUCUUGACGGUACCUAAUCAGAAAGCCACGGCUAACUACGUG